ACCGUCGGGUAAUCGUCGGUUUCUUCUGAACCGAACUGCAGUGCAGAGCCGGAAUGGGGGGCUUGGCCCCAAUCCAGCACGGUCAAAAUUAGCUCUCUGAUAUAUUACAUGCAGUCAGCCAGUGGAAGCGGCUGAGAUCGUGACGCCCCAGUCCCGCAGCCUUGUAUGGGGGGUCCAAACCCCGCAAGGCUGCUACUCGGGUCCGCUUUCGUCCAAGAACGCAUUUUCCAACAGCAACUUUACAGCAAAGGACAAGAACAAAGACUUUAUCUGUUGUUUCUUCAACAUGACACCAACAGGAGCAAUGGGGGAUCCCAUUAGAGCUGACGGCUGUGUUCCUGAACCUGGAGGCACGGAGAGGAACGACCACGAAAGAUCGACAUUCCUUCUGUCUGAUGCAGGAUAGAGAACGGCCCUCUGGGGGAAUUGUAUCCUCAUGUUUAUUCUUUUUUUAAUUCCUUAAAUCAUGUAUAUCCUUAUUUUUUAUGGUUAUGGCGUGCGGUACAGAUGAAUCAUGACGCCGGGGUUAUUUCCCCAUCUAUGUGAUUAAUAACAUUGUAGAAAAACCUGGGACUCUAAGCCUUGAUGAUAUGUUUUUCGGAGGGGGCGGCAGUAAAGACACACAGCACCUCGAGACAGACCUGACAGACUGGAGCUUCACUAAAGACCCACAUGUCUGUGUUUGCAAACCCCACAGGGGCCCUUGGGGGUCCGGCGGCAGCGGCACGUCUUCCACUUGUCCACUUCAACUUCACACGGCUGGACUCUUUCAUACUUCUGUGAAUUCCUGUGAACAAACACCGAGAAAUGUUAACGGUGCUCUGUAUUGACAAACGCUAGCGACCGAUAUGUGUUUUUAACAACAUCAGGGUUCCUACAUGGACAUGUUUUCACUCAAAAAUUCCCUCCAAAAUUGGUUGAAGAAACUAUUUCUACACAUAAAGAAAUUCAUACACAAAAUAUGUGUCGAAAAUAUUGUCAACGCAAAUUUUUUUAUUUUUAUUUUUUUACAAUUUUGACUUGUUAAAGAAACAAUUUUCACUUAUUAAUUAAACCAAUUCCACCAAAAAAAAAUUAAAUAGAACCAAUUUUCAAUCAAAAAUUGGAAGCAAAUUAAAAAAAGUUAUAACAAAUAUUAUUAUAAUUUUUUUCAAGUUAAAAAAAAAACAAGAAAUCAUUAUAAUCUUUGUUUUUAUUUGGAAUUUCGAUUUUUAUCUUUUAACAGUGCAUGGUCAGAUAUCAGUGAAUCCUAAGAUCGUAGAAGAUUCGUAACUCUGGAAAGUACAUGAAAAUGUAUAGAAUUGUAUGAAACUCAUGGAAAGUGAAUAUGAUUUCUGCUUUUUGAGUUAUGCGCUGCUCUUAAUUAUUUAAUCGUCUUGAAAUCGUUCCAUAAUGUGAAUUUUGAAAUUGAUCAAUUGCACUGAAGUAACUUGGAGCACAAAACCAGUCAUAAGGGUCAAUUUUUCCAAAAUUGAGAUUUGUACGUCAUCUGAAAGCUGAAUGUAGCUUGACGUGUGGUUUGUUCAGAGGACGAUAUUCUGGUUAAGAUGCAACUAUUUGAAAAUCUAGAAUCUGAGGGUGUAAAAAAAUCUAAAUAUUUAAUAUAAAGUUGUCCAAAUGAAGUUCUUAGCAAUGCAUAUUACUAAUCAAAAAUAAAGUUUUGAUAUAUUUACGGUAGGAAUGGUAUGGAACAUGAUCUUUACUUAAUAUCUUAAAGAUUGUCGUCUAUUGCCACAAAUAUACCUUAGAGACUUCAAACUGGUUUUGUGCUCCAGGGUCACAUUAAAAUUCUCUAAAAAGUAGCACUUCUGUAAGCCCAGUUUCCAUUUCGACAGUAUCGCCAAAUAUUUGAGUCAAUCACUACCAAACCCCACACGCACAGAAGCACUGUGACGUCCCUCUCGGAUCCAUCCAUCACUAGACCACGUCCACGUCACUCAGUACUCACACCUUACAGUAUUUACUAAGGCUAAGAGUCCCCACUUCUCAUGCAGUUACUAAAAAACAGCUAGAGUUAAUCUUUUUUGUUUCAUUUUCUUUUUUUAGAAUAUGCUUGUUGAGUUUGCUUUUUAACUUGUUUUUGUUGCUUUGCCAGUAUAUUAAAGUGUAAUCAUGUACGUUGUGAUAUAGAAGUAGCUGUAGAGAUGCAUUGUUUCCUUGUGGUAAGUGACUGAGAUGCUGCCACGGAUUUGAGACACUGAUGAAUGGUGCUAUUUUGGACUUUAAUCUGCUCCUUGGGUAAGGAAGCUCAGAUGGGUUUGAUUUUAUACUUUCAUGUUCAGAGGAGGUGUUGGUUUCUUUAUUGUCUGGUUGUCGUAACUCGGAUCGGAUCGACUUUAUUCCCCCUCGCUGUUUCUGUGUGGCUUUCUCAUUGGACAGAAGAUUUGCAGAAGAGUUGGUGUUUUGUUUUAGUUUUUUUAUAGGAUUAUUUGCCAAAUUCUGAAACCUUAGACAGUCGAAGCAAUCACAAAACUGCAAUUCUUAACACUAUUAACCCUUUAAUGUAAAGGUUUAAUCACAGUUCCUGGCACUUUAGUCACUCUUAUACAGCACACGAUUUCACGGUUUUGUUGAGCGACGAACUUCGAAUACAUCAAGGACAGAUUCAGAUAGACAUCAGUGUGAAACACUGAGGAUGCAGUCGUUGUUGUAUUUUGCUGUGCAUGGUCCCAGGUGACGGUGGUCUACAUGGUGUACAUGCACAGAGCAGAUUUAGCAUCCUACAGCAGUCUAACAAGGACAAAAACGCUCAUCCGUUUAACACACGGGGUCCUUCGGUGAAUUUUCAAAGGCAAAACAUGUAGCAGUAAAACCAAUGCAUUUGGUUUUGUUCAUGAGUUUCCUGGAUUUUAGAAUGAGAACCCAAUGCUUUCUAUUUAUUCAUUGAAGUAGCACGCUAUCAUCACUCGGUAUUUGCAGUUUUGUCUUUGCUUCCAGUUCUCAUGUUUAAAAAUCCCAAUUCAGAGUCCGACUGGAAAGCCCACGUUAGUUUGUUAGUCUUCCAUUAAUUUUCCCACUUCUCCCAGCUUGCUCUAGUCUCUCUUUAGUGCUUACCGAUCGCAUGCUCUUCCUUUAGUUUCUGAUCUGAAUGAUUCUCCUCGCCGUUUCUUCUCAUAGAUUAGAUAUGCCAGCUGUGUUGUAAAUAGCCAGUGAAUAGCUUUUAGUAACAUGUUGAAUUAUUCUGUAAUAUGUGUAUGAUUGGUGUACAAAACAUGAAGUCUAGCCUUGUCAUCUUUAUAAGGAUGCACAGGUAUAUAUCAUGUAAUUUUGCAACUUAAGCUGUAGUUGAAUAAAUAUGCAAGCUCUCGUUA